GCUGGCGGCAGGCCUAACACAUGCAAGUCGAACGGUAACAGGAAGCAGCUUGCUGCUUCGCUGACGAGUGGCGGACGGGUGAGUAAUGUCUGGGAAACUGCCUGAUGGAGGGGGAUAACUACUGGAAACGGUAGCUAAUACCGCAUAACGUCGCAAGACCAAAGAGGGGGACCUUCGGGCCUCUUGCCAUCGGAUGUGCCCAGAUGGGAUUAGCUAGUAGGUGGGGUAACGGCUCACCUAGGCGACGAUCCCUAGCUGGUCUGAGAGGAUGACCAGCCACACUGGAACUGAGACACGGUCCAGACUCCUACGGGAGGCAGCAGUGGGGAAUAUUGCACAAUGGGCGCAAGCCUGAUGCAGCCAUGCCGCGUGUAUGAAGAAGGCCUUCGGGUUGUAAAGUACUUUCAGCGGGGAGGAAGGCGAUAAGGUUAAUAACCUUGUCGAUUGACGUUACCCGCAGAAGAAGCACCGGCUAACUCCGUGCCAGCAGCCGCGGUAAUACGGAGGGUGCAAGCGUUAAUCGGAAUUACUGGGCGUAAAGCGCACGCAGGCGGUCUGUCAAGUCGGAUGUGAAAUCCCCGGGCUCAACCUGGGAACUGCAUUCGAAACUGGCAGGCUAGAGUCUUGUAGAGGGGGGUAGAAUUCCAGGUGUAGCGGUGAAAUGCGUAGAGAUCUGGAGGAAUACCGGUGGCGAAGGCGGCCCCCUGGACAAAGACUGACUCAGGUGCGAAAGCGUGGGGAGCAAACAGGAUUAGAUACCCUGGUAGUCCACGCCGUAAACGAUGUCGACUUGGAGGUUGUGCCCCUGAGGCGUGGCUUCCGGAGCUAACGCGUUAAGUCGACCGCCUGGGGAGUACGGCCGCAAGGUUAAAACUCAAAUGAAUUGACGGGGGCCCGCACAAGCGGUGGAGCAUGUGGUUUAAUUCGAUGCAACGCGAAGAACCUUACCUACUCUUGACAUCCAGAGAACUUUCCAGAGAUGGAUUGGUGCCUUCGGGAACUCUGAGACAGGUGCUGCAUGGCUGUCGUCAGCUCGUGUUGUGAAAUGUUGGGUUAAGUCCCGCAACGAGCGCAACCCUUAUCCUUUGUUGCCAGCGGUUAGGCCGGGAACUCAAAGGAGACUGCCAGUGAUAAACUGGAGGAAGGUGGGGAUGACGUCAAGUCACCAUGGCCCUUACGAGUAGGGCUACACACGUGCUACAAUGGCGCAUACAAAGAGAAGCGACCUCGCGAGAGCAAGCGGACCUCAUAAAGUGCGUCGUAGUCCGGAUUGGAGUCUGCAACUCGACUCCAUGAAGUCGGAAUCGCUAGUAAUCGUGGAUCAGAAUGCCACGGUGAAUACGUUCCCGGGCCUUGUACACACCGCCCGUCACACCAUGGGAGUGGGUUGCAAAAGAAGUAGGUAGCUUAACCUUCGGGAGGGCGCUUACCACUUUGUGAUUCAUGACUGGGGUG
rnacentral:rRNA from 1 species